UACUUGGGGACGGGGUGGGGAAGGCUGGUAUGAGCAAUGAACAGCAAUGAACGGCUGGCGGGACGAUGUCAACGUGAGAAACCUGUGCUAAGAAGAACGUCAGGAAACGUCAGGGAGAAAGCCGCGCUGUCAGGCGAGGGAGACCCCUGGCGUUUCCCGCUAACGUCGGGCUGGGAGCCCGUGGAACCCACGAGGGGGCGAGGGCUUCCCGGUCGGAAGUCGGGGAGGCUCCCGCAGGAGCCAAAUGGCCUGGCGGGUGGGUCAGCGGCCAGCGGGAGGCCUGCCGGCCGCGCCCCCGAGCAGAGGAGCCCCCGAAGUGGCGCACGCUCCCCCCGAGAGCAGCUUCAAAGAAAACUUUAGGACAUCAAGAGACCAUCGGAUGAGCCAAACAAUUCUGAGCAACAUUGAGAUGGUUCCCACACUGCUUCCUACCCUUUGCCUGAAGACACCACCUGCUCUCUUUCCUUUAUGCGAAAUGCAGUCUAGCAUCUGGGAAAGGGCCCCACAGACCUUGGUUCCCAAACUCAGUGAUUCCACAAAUAUUUGCCAAGUGAGUGAAUGGUGUCAUGCAUACAGGAAGGGCCAAGGGGUCUUUGGCUAGCAGUUGCCUAACCGUUGGAAUACUGACCGCAGGAGGACGGUUCCCAGUCCCACCACACUCGUUGCAAUGCCUGGUUUCCGAUCAGGCGGCUGCGCUCACGGCGCCUCCCUGUUCACGCUGUACCGUGAACCUGCUGAAUCUUAUCCCUGUGCCCCGACGAUGCGGAGGGAGGCCUGUGUUCUCAUAGUGUGAGGAUGGAAUGAGGACGGGGAGCCGCUAACACGGGGAAAGGCAGAAUGACCCAGGGACAGGGAAAGAGGAAAUGGAACUCUCCUGAGCUGGAGAAAUGGCAAGGGAGAAAGCAGAAUGGAAGAAAAAAAGAAAAGGAGAGGAAUCAGACAGCAAGUGAACAGAGAGUGAAGAAAAGGAAGGGAGAUUCGAUCUGGCAAAGGGCAGGCUGUGUCCAUAAAUGAGUGGACAGAGGGGCUGGACAGAAGGUUGAAUUCCACAUUGCUGCCCGGUGGGAUUCAGACAUUUGGUGUUUGCUCUUGGCCGAGAUGCCGAUGGGAUAGAGAGGCUAACGCAGUCGUCUUGACAGCUCAUCUUUAUGGCAGUGUUUAUCAGCCUGUGUCCACUGGAGGUGACAUUUGCAGAAAGAGGUGGUGGCUAUUUUACUUACCUGUUUGCAGAUACCCUGAGCCUCUGCCUUCAACAAAUAGCCAGGCAGGCGUCACAGCUGAUGGAGGGGACCUGGGCGUCAGUCAACACCUUGACUGACAGAGGCGAUCACGAAGCUCACACUCCAAACUUAAUGUCCUUGACUGGCGUGUGACUGAGUCCUUAAUAUGUUAACCAGUCCUGUGUUGGAUGCUCAGGAGGCUACGAAAGACAUUCGAUUGAAAGCCAAUGGUUCUGGCCCAGCCAGUGUAGCUCAGCGGUUGAGCAUCAACCCAGGAACCAAAAGGCUGCCAGUUCAGUUCCAGGUCAGGGCACAUGCCCAGGUUGCGGGCUCGAUCCCCUGUGGGGCAUGUGCAGGAGGCAACUGAUGGAUGAUGUUUCUCUCUCAUCAGUGUUUCUAUCUCUCUAACCCUUUCCCUUUCUCUCUCUAAAAUCAAUAAAAACAUUUAAAAAAAAGAAGUGCUAUGUAGCAAAGGUGUGGGUUCUUGGCAAGAGACACACAUAUGAUCCAUCAGCCGCAGUUUCCUCAUCUGUAGAAUGGGCAUCGCAGCGGUACCUCCUUCAUAGAGGUCCUGUGGGAAUUGAAAUGAGAGGAUGCGUGUAUAAAGUGCUUCCAGCAGCUUGGUACACCCUGAGCACUCAAACAGUGUGCUCAUUCUCUUUUUGGAUUUUAGCAGUCGAGUUUGUGGUUAAGACUCCAUUUUAAGCAGUUGGACAUUUCUGUUAUGUUUUGAUUUUGAGUGAAAGGAAAAUGAGAAGAUGAUUUUAAAAAAUAGCUGUUUUCUUUGACCUAAUUUUAAAACUCUUGACAUUUUUCUCCGACCGGUUUUGCUGUCAGCCAGACCUGGCAGGUCUCUGUGGCCUUUUCAGAGCACCUGUUUCGUCGUCUGCUUUACAGUGACUUAGCCAUGCUAUUUUUUCAAGGUUACAAAAGCGGGAAGACAUCA